GUAGGGUCCGAGCGUUAUCCGGAAUCAUUGGGCGUAAAGAGCUCGUAGGCGGUUCAGCAAGUCGGCUGUGAAAGUUCGAGGCUCAACCUCGAAACUGCAGUCGAUACUGCUGUGACUUGAAUUCGGUAGAGGAGAAUGGAAUUCCCGGUGUAGCGGUGAAAUGCGCAGAUAUCGGGAGGAACACCAGUAGCGAAGGCGGUUCUCUGGGCCGAUAUUGACGCUGAGGAGCGAAAGCGUGGGGGGAGCAAGCAGGAUUAGAUACCCUGGUAGUCCACGCCCGUAAACGUUGGAUGCUAGGUGUGGCGGUCUACCAACGACUGCCGUGCCGAAGCUAACGCAUUAAGCAUCCCCGCCUGGGGAGUACGGCCGCAAGGCUA
rnacentral:rRNA from 1 species